CCUGUGUUUACUCUACAUUAUUAUAUAGCCCCAUAUGCCAAGUAACUGGGCAGAUAGCUGUAGGAAUAUGUACGCCACAUGGGGCCCAUGUGCCAAAUAUCUGGGAAAAUGCAUGGCCAUUCUUAUUUUCAUUCUACAUGGGCCCCACAUGCCACAUACCUGGGCAGAUAAUUAUGCCCUGGAUUCCUCUCUGACCCACUGUUAAUUAUACUUUAUUUUUAAGACGUUAUACGUAGCUACAGUUAUGACAUGAAUGCUCCAUUGCGGUACUUUUUACUUAAUAAGUGUAUGCGCAUGCUCAGUAGAAAUACCAGUUUGAAUGAAGUUAGCGAUGAUCGGACCAUUGGACUUAAGCCAAUGAACCAGCUGUCUUGGCAGUUCCGGUGUCCUGUUUCAAGUUUUGAAUUCACAAACGAAGCGCCCAUUCUAGUGCCGUCGUCUUGUAGGGAGUGUAAAGGAAGGAAGAUUCAUAGGCCUAAGAAAAUUUGCCAAGUCACAGUGAAGUAAAAGAGUAAAAAAAAAAAAACCCCAAAAAAAAACAUGGCAUCCAUAGGCCGUUAUUAAUGGAGCUACUGUAAGUAUUGGCGAAGAUGGACACGAAAACUUAAAAUUCAAUAUGCAUUAUCAGAUCACCAGUCCUGAGCUGCAGUAUGUACUACCUGCCAACAUACCAGUACUUUAUAUGGAGGAAUUAUAAUAAUUUUGAUCGGUUCUUGAAGAUGGUCUUGUGCAAACAAUUGUAUUUUCAAGCCUUGAAAACUUUUUUAACAACAUUUAAAUCUAUCCUGAACAACUUUGUUUCCUGACUUCAUCUGAACUGGAUCAAAAAGUACUAAGAAGUUUCAAAAGAUCAAGAUUGUCAAAAUCGGUAAAUUAAUAGAUUCUAAAAACCAAAUGUUUGGGCGAGACUUUUUUAUACCUUGUUUAUCGAACCCGCCUACUGCA